rnacentral:lncRNA from 1 species
AUCCUUAGUCAACGAGCUAUACUUGACAAAUGGUUGGAUAUUGACAAUUAGAUUAGAUGCUAUAAAUUAGACUUCAUAGUUGAUAAAAUCUAAUGUAUGCAUAAGGACAUAUUGACUGUCAAUGACUUGCUGAUUCAUUUACAAAAGUUAUGAGAUGAUCAAAGUCACAUAGUACAUGAGAUACGUGAUAGGCAGUUUGUCCAUGAUCGAUGAUCAAGGACAUUGAAGAGCUUGAAAGACUUGACAUG